UUGGACAGCAAUGGCUGCGCUGCUAGUCGGUCUGUCUUUCGUAAUGGGUCCUGUCCAAAUGCUUAAGCUCUAUGGCGUUCCAUACUGGGUAUGUUCUAUUUCUUUAUGCUUGAUGUGCUUCUACAUCAUUGGCAGAAAACCAAAAUCUAUACCAAUAGGACUUCAUUCUCACAUUUAUUUCUUUGGAUUUGCGUUCAAAUGCAGUUGUUCGUCAUGUGGUUGGACUUGGUCACUUACUUGCAUCACCAUGGCCAUGAGGACAAACUCCCAUGGUAUCGUGGAAAGGUAAAGUGUUCAACUUGUCACCUAUACGAUACAAGAAAUGUCAAUGCUUUAGCACUUAUUGAACUGUAUAAGGCUAAUGUUUGGUUCUGCAUUUAUCAAACAGGAAUGGAGUUAUCUAAGAGGAGGAUUGACAACCCUCGAUCGAGACUACGGAUUGAUCAACAACAUCCAUCAUGACAUUGGAACCCAUGUCAUACAUCACCUGUUCCCUCAAAUUCCACACUAUAACUUAGUAGAAGCAGUGAGUACCACUUAUGCCUAAACACCAUUUAGCUGGAAAAUAUCAAUUCAAUUCUGUGCACCAUUUUGAUUUGGUUCUUGUUCAUAUUAAUCGUUUCAGACGGAGGCAGCUAAGCCUGUGCUUGGGAAGUACUACAGAGAGCCAAAGAAAUCUGGGCCUCUCCCACUUCACUUAUUGGGAGUUCUUAUAAGAAGCAUGAAACGUGAUCAUUACGUCAGUGAUACUGGGGAUGUUGUAUAUUAUCAAACUGAUAAGAAACUUGCUGGGUCUGUGACAUCAGAAUGAAGUUGCCAAGUUGUUGUGAAGUUGAAGUUUUCAGGCACAACAAUUGAAGCGUACCAAAGCUUUUUAA
rnacentral:lncRNA from 1 species